GCGAAACGUCAGCUACGCAGUGUGAGCUGAUAGUGUCUGUUCGGCUACGUGCACUACCAAAGCGGCGUGAGAGCG
rnacentral:sRNA from 2 species